UUAUUAAUCCGAAAGGACGACAGCUGUAUCAAACUGUUAUAAAUAGGCACAAUAACCUUGGAAUAAUAUCUUCUGGUAAGCCGACAUAUUGGCCUAUUGAUUGUAAGAAAAUACCAGAUUUAAUUGAUUUUACUGUAAUCAAAAAUAUAGAUAAAUCGCACAUAACAGCUGAUACAUGUACUAAUCUAUCUUCUGAUUACUCUCCUGUACUAAUAAAGUUAUGUGAACAACCCAUAUUCGUUAAUCCAAAAAAGAGUCUAACUUCUUAUAAAACGAAUUGGCUAAAAUAUAAAAAAUACGUGAGUAGCCACAUUAAUAUUGAGUACAGAAUAAAUACAGGAAGAGAUAUUGACGAAAGCAUAAAAAAAGUCAACAAUAUAAUAACCAGCGCAGCUGUCUUAGCAACAACAAACAAAAACUAUAAGCCGCUAGGUCGCAGAAAAAUCACUAAUAGUGAAAUAGAAAAGCUUGUAAAUGAAAAAAGGCGUGCAAGAUGUGAAUGGCAGAUAAAUCGAUCCCAUUCCACUCAGCUUCAAUUGAAAUCUGCUGUACGUAAACUAAAAAAGCGCGUAAAUGUGAAGAAGAAUUCAACACCGAAGUGUAUAUAAAGAAGCUGUGUCCAAAUUCAAACAAGCAAAAUUCCCUUUGGAAAGUCCAAAAGUCCAUGAAGCCACCAACUGACUCCAACAUGCCUAUACGAGACUUGGGUGGAAAUUGGGCUCGAAGUGACAAGAAAACGGCUAAUUGUUUUGCAAAUCACCUAGAAAAGGUAUUUCAACCCAAUUUGACAAAGAACAACUUUAAGCUGUCAAUCUUACCCAACACAGCUAAAGAGUCGUUCGAGUCUUUUAAGACUUCAAGAACAAACGCUACAGAAAGUUUCGACAAUAACCAAGAAAUAGGCAUUCGAAUGGUCGACUGGUGAUACGCGUUUACAGCGUUUACGGCAUUAGACACCUUGGCGAAAAGGUUGCGCAGAGUUUGGGUGAACCUCUUGCACAAAUGACACUCAACACUUUCCAAUUUGCUGGCUGAUUUGACGAUACAUUAUGUAACAUUAUGUAUAAAAAUUCGGAUGUCAUUGAUUUCACAAAUACAAUACAAGUUUUGCCUUUACCGCCACCAAUAUUCGCCAGUAGUGGUUUCGUGAAAAGAUACAAGAUUUAUCAAACAAAAAGUGGAAGGACCCUGAACAAAAGUAAAUUAUUUAAAUGUUUUCGACAUUUAUUUUAUUUGUUACCACUGUAUGCAACCUUUAGAAAAUUUGUAGAAAAUGUGCGUCGCUUGACGAAUAACAAUGCAUUGGUAGUGCCUAUGUCAGAAUACGAUGUAACAACAAUAUAGUUGCAACAAUUUACACAAUGUCCCAAUUAUAAAGUUCAAUACUGUUCCGAAGAUUUUCUUAUGGAGGCUUUAAAUAAAUACCAUCGAGAUGCUUGUUUGGGCGCUUUCCACACAGACGACACACACCCAAUAAAUGCGUUGAAUGAAGAGGUGUAAACAAAUAACUUGAAUAUUACUUUUUUUUUACAUGUUUUACACUUUCCGAGAAAUUCAUUAUCCGCCGGGAACUGGUAAAUUUAUGUUAAUUGCUCGUUUAAUAGAAAUGUAUAAAUAAGGUAACAACAAAGAACAGUUUCUCCAGUCAUUUCAAUCUUUCCAAUCGCUAAUAUCCGUACAACUUCGUGCUGUACCAACGACAGAACAGAAGAAUCCGCUGAUGAGACUGAUUAGUUUUUUGAAGUUAUACUUCUUAUACGAGUUCGGAAAAGGUUGCGAUAGAUUCAGGUUGCGCAACCUUGCUCAAUAUGAAUCUACCCAACCCCUUGCUCAAUAUAAAUCUACGCAACCCCUUGCUCAAUAUGAAUCUACGCAACCUUGCUCAAUUUGAAUCUACGCAACCUUGCCUGCGAAGAUGUUCGAGCAGCAAGCGAAGCGGUGAAAAUCGGCGAUCGUUUGUUCGUUUCUUUCGGCACAGCUCGGCUUUUCUACCAACAACACAAUGUUGCCAUGCUUAUGCUGUUGUUGUUUUUGUAGACCAAUGUUUCAAUUUUUGGUUGGUGACAUAUUCAAUUAAAAAUAAAUUCUGUUGGGAUUCGAACCUACGUGCUCGUCGUAACUUUUCAAGCGCUUACCACCAACACCACCAUUGACACUUGUAUUGCGUUGUCCUAAUUAUGGUUUGGUUAUGCAUGAAAGAAAUAUACAAUGGAUCGCCGAUUGUUAACUCUUUCCUUUCUGCUGCUGCGCAUAUGUACGUUUGUAUGCUUGUGCAUUAUUGAAGUUAUGCUUCUUUUACUUUCGUUUGUCUUUCAUUUCUGCGAAUU